GUGUGCUCUUCCGAUCUUAACACAAAACAUCCAGGAAACCUAGGACACUAUGAAAAGACCAAACCAAAAAGUAAUAGGGAUAGAAGAGGGAAACAAAUACCAGCUCAAAGGCACAGAAAAUAUAUUCAACAAAAUCAUAGAAGAAAACUUUCCCAACCUAAAGA